GUUCAGGGGUAAACCUGAGAAACCCAAAAGAUCGAAUGGGGAGAUUCAUCGUCAGCGCAUUUUGUAUAUGUAUGAGUUAUGAUGCGNNGGUUACUCUUNNGUAGUAUUGCCNUGUACGUACUUGUGCAUUUAUUUGCAAGGUGUUGUCGGCGUGCACUUCUCCCCUAGUAGGACGUCGCGACCCGUUGGGUGUUGGUCUACGACCCGAGNUGGUAGCCUCUAAUGUUNNUUANNUAAUAUUAGAGACCCUUGGUGUUNUUCUGACCGGCUGCCCGGCGGUACUCGUACGGUAUUUAGCCGCAUNUUUANNNUAUGCGUCCAUAUCCGUCGCAAGCGAGGCCAGUUUCUGGUAGUNACGGACCUGGUGCCGUCGCUGGAGCUGGCCAGCUGUUGGCUGUUACGGUAUUCUGGGACUGGCUAAAAUNNA
rnacentral:rRNA from 1 species